rnacentral:rRNA from 1 species
AGCGAACGCUGGCGGCAGGCUUAAAACAUGCAAGUCGAGCGGGCAUCUUCGGAUGUCAGCGGCAGACGGGUGAGUAACACGUGGGAACGUACCCUUCGGUUCGGAACAACUCUGGGAAACUGGAGCUAAUACCGGAUACGCCCUUAUGGGGAAAGGUUUACUGCCGAAGGAUCGGCCCGCGUGUGAUUAGCCAGUUGGGGGGGGAACGGCCUACCAAGGCGACGAUCAGUAGCUGGUCUGAGAGGAGGAUCAGCCACCCUGGGACUGAGACACGGCCCGGACCCCUACGGGAGGCGGGAGGGGGGAAUAUUGGACAAGGGGCGCAAGCCUGACCCAGCCAUGCCGGGUGGGUGAUGAAGGCCUUAGGGUUGUAAAGCUCUUUUGCCCGGGACGAUAAUGACGGUACCGGAAAAAAAAGCCCCGGCUAACUUCGU